rnacentral:rRNA from 1 species
GAUGAACGCUGGCGGCGUGCUUAGCACAUGCAAGUCGAACGGAAAGGCCCAAGCUUGCUUGGGUACUCGAGUGGCGAACGGGUGAGUAACACGUGGGUGAUCUGCCCUGCACUUCGGGAUAAGCCUGGGAAACUGGGUCUAAUACCGGAUAGGACCACUUCUUGGAUGUUGUGGUGGAAAGUUUUUUCGGUGUGGGAUGAGCUCGCGGCCUAUCAGCUUGUUGGUGGGGUAAUGGCCUACCAAGGCGUCGACGGGUAGCCGGCCUGAGAGGGUGUACGGCCACAUUGGGACUGGGAUACGGCCCAGACUCCUACGGGAGGCAGCAGUGGGGAAUAUUGCACAAUGGGCGCAAGCCUGAUGCAGCGACGCCGCGUGGGGGAUGACGGCCUUCGGGUUGUAAACUCCUUUCGCUAGGGACGAAGCGUUUUUGUGACGGUACCUGGAGAAGAAGCACCGGCUAACUACGUG